ensembl:lncRNA novel transcript
GUUUUGUUUUUUUGAGACCGAGUCUCACUCUUGUCGCCCAGGCUGGAACGCUGUCUAAAAAGAAAAGCAGGGAAUUUGACACAAAGAAAAUAAACUAGAAAUAGAUCUUUGAGGCCAAUGGAUUUUAGAAAAGAAAAAUAUCAGCUCUUCCUUUUCUUUAACCUGUUCCUUGAGGACAAUGCCAUAGAAUGUUGUGAGCAUCUGCAAGCAUAACCGGGAGGUGGGCUCUCACUGAACAGCACUCACCGACUCCCACCGGGGCCCGCACCGUGUAGUGCAUGCAGCCCA